UGGGGAAUAUUGCGCAAUGGGGGAAACCCUGACGCAGCGACGCCGCGUGUGGGAUGAAGGUCUUCGGGUUGUAAACUACUGUCACGGGUUAUGAAUGUGCAUAUGUUAACAGCGUGUGUAUUGACGUAAGCCCGAAAGGAAGCACCGGCUAACUCUGUGCCAGCAGCCGCGGUAAUACAGAGGGUGCAAACGUUGUUCGGAAUUACUGGGCAUAAAGCGCGCGUAGGCGGCGACGUAAGUGUAGGGUGAAAUCCCACGGCUCACCCGUGUGAAUUGCCCCGCAUACUGCGUUGCUCGAGUGUGGUAGGGGAGAGCGGAACUCCUGGUGGAGCGGUGAAAUGCGUAGAUAUCAGGAGGAACACCGGUGGCGUAGGCGGCUCUCUGGUCCAUAACUGACGCUGAGUGAGCGAAAGCCAGGGGAGCAAACGGGAUUAGAUACCCACGUAGUCCCUGAGCGGGCUGGCAAGGCGCAU
rnacentral:rRNA from 1 species